GGGGAUGUAGCUCAGUGGUAGAGUUUCAGCUUUGCAUGCGGAAGGACCGGUGUUCGAUUCCCUGCAUCUCAA
rnacentral:tRNA from 1 species